rnacentral:rRNA from 1 species
UACGUAGGGGGCUAGCGUUGUCCGGAAUCAUUGGGCGUAAAGCGCGUGUAGGCGGUUCGGUAAGUCCGCUGUGAAAGUCGGGGGCUCAACCCUCGGAAGCCGGUGGAUACUGUCGGGCUGGAGUACGGAAGAGGCGAGUGGAAUUCCUGGUGUAGCGGUGAAAUGCGCAGAUAUCAGGAGGAACACCUAUUGCGAAGGCAGCUCGCUGGGACGUUACUGACGCUGAGACGCGAAAGCGUGGGGAGCAAACAGG